UGGGGAAUAUUGGACAAUGGGCGAAAGCCUGAUCCAGCAAUGCCGCGUGAGUGAUGAAGGCCUUAGGGUUGUAAAGCUCUUUUACCAGGGAUGAUAAUGACAGUACCUGGAGAAUAAGCUCCGGCUAACUCCGUGCCAGCAGCCGCGGUAAUACGGAGGGAGCUAGCGUUGUUCGGAAUUACUGGGCGUAAAGCGUACGUAGGCGGUGACUCAAGUCAGAGGUGAAAGCCUGGAGCUCAACUCCAGAACUGCCUUUGAAACUAGGUCGCUAGAAUCACGGAGAGGUGAGUGGAAUUCCGAGUGUAGAGGUGAAAUUCGUAGAUAUUCGGAAGAACACCAGUGGCGAAGGCGGCUCACUGGACGUGUAUUGACGCUGAGGUACGAAAGCGUGGGGGGCAAACAGGAUUAGAUACCCUUGUAGUCCCUGAGCGGGCUGGCAAGGCGCAU
rnacentral:rRNA from 1 species